rnacentral:rRNA from 1 species
CCCGCCUGCCCAGUGAACACAUCUUCAACGGCCGCGGUAUUCUAACCGUGCAAAGGUAGCGUAAUCACUUGUCUUCUAAAUAAAGACUAGUAUGAACGGCUAAAUGAGGGCAAAACUGUCUCUUAUAACUAAUCAGUGAAACUGAUCUUCCAGUACAAAAGCUGGAAUUAAAACAUAAGACGAGAAGACCCCGUGGAGCUUAAAAUAAACAACUA